AGUGAGUGAGUGAGUGAGUGAGUGAGUGAGUGAGUGAGUGAGUGAGUGAGUGAGUGAGUGAGUGAGUGAGUGAGUGAGUGAGUGAGUGUCUGUAAUGGUGUGUUAAUGUCGCGCAGGUCAGUGCUCCACGUCCUCAGUAGAUCUGGAGACGGACUCGGCCACAGACUCGGAGCUGCGUGAGGGGAUGCUGGGACGAACCGUGGAGGCCGAUAUGGACGACAGAGGUCUGGAGACGCCCAUCUUCUGUAUGGACAGCAAGACCAACGAGAGCUCCUGCCCCUCAUGGCUGCAGAAGGAGCUGCUGGAUGCUGAGUUCAUCCCGAUGCCCGACGAUUCCCAGGACUCCAUCGAGCCGCUGACGAAGCCCUACACCGAGAGCGCCACGCUGCCCUACGAGGAGCUGGACCAGAUCAAAGCCACCGCCGCCGCCGCCGCCGCCACGGGAAAGAGCCUUAUGCCGGCUGCAUGCGUGGAUUACGAGCGGAUGAACGGCGUGGAGACGGGACGCUCCGAGCAGAGCUGCUGUGGCGCGAGCAUCGAGCUGGCAAACCUCAGAGAAACCGUGAACCGUCAGGACGCCCAAGUGCAGCUCUUACAGAAACAGUUCAACGAUCAGCUGAAGGAGAACGAGAGACUGUGGAGAGCCAUUCAGAGCCUCAGAGCAGAUGCUGGACUCCAGGACAUCAGUCAAAACCACCGCUCUGCCCUUCAGGAGAAGUGAGAGAUCAGUCAGACUAACCUGUUAAUACUGCUUGCAGUGAGUGUGCUCCGUGCUAAAUCCAGACAGAUUGAGGGGGUUUCGCCAAAAUCAUUAGUGCCUUUUCAUAACCAAAGACUGUACGAGUUCUUUCAUGCUGCUAAUGUCAAGCCAAAGCGCUCCGUAUCUUUUAGUGCUGUGUGUAUGGACAUAAACCGUGAGUGUUUUAUCUGGGAACAACAUUGAAUAAUGUCAGUUUAAUCACGAGACAAUCCCUCCAGAACGAAUGUAAGAAAAGUGUCAUAAAUGGUUCACUUCAGUCCUCAUGGGUUUAACGCUUUCAUAUUCAACAUUCAGCACAAUAUGUGACCCUGGAGCACAAAACCAGUCAUAAGGGUCAAUUUUUCAAAUUUGUUUGGAUAGGACGAUAUUUGAAAAUCUGGAAUCUGAGGGUGCAAAAAAAUCUAAAUAUUGAGAAAAUCAUCUUUAAAGUUGUUCAAAUGAAGUUCUUAGCAAUGCAUAUUACUAAUCAAACAUUAAGUUUGGAUAUAUUUACGGUACGGUAGGUCAUUAAUAUCUUCAUGGAACAUGAUCUUUACUUAAUAUCCUAAUGAUUUUUGGCAUAAAAGAAAAAUCUAUAAUUUUGACUUUUGUGCUGCAGGGUCACAUUUUGUUUUCAGAUGCUCUUUUAUAAUGAGAUGAAAUUGUAAAGUUGAAAGUGCCUCUAUAUUAGUUUGUCUUCAGUGUAUCAGUGUUAAUGUCAUUCGUACAGUGUUUUGCGUGUUAUUCUCACAGAUUUUAUCUUUCCUAUGCAAGCAGGUCUAAUGCAGCCGAUGUGUUUCAAUCAAAGAUUCUUAUAAACACUUCAAAGCUGCUUCGUGUAUGAAUGUGAAGCCAAAUCAUGGUUCGUUUGCGUCACUGCUCUCUGCUUUUCAUAUGCAUGCUAAUGUCUACGUGUACAAGUUUUGCAGUAAUUUCACAUUUAUAUUAGAGUAAGUUGUGCAUACACAUCGUGUCAAAACUACUGAAUUUCUAGUAUUUUCAUUUCUUUAGCAUUCUUGUCUGUUUUAUGUAUAUUGCCAAAUAUUGGAGAACGACACCAAGUUUAUGCAAAUCUGUGGAGCGAAGGUAAAACGCAGUACAGAUCUCUGAGACUCGUAUCUGUCCUUUGACAGACGGCUUCGGAUCAGAGAAAACUGCAGAAACUGCCUGAGCUCCAGUGUUGCUGUAGUCACUGCAUUCUGCCGGUGUAUUGCCUUCACUUUUGCAUGUUUUUAAAGCAAGUGCAACCAAAUGUUUUCAUUGUUUGUGUGUGUUUUAUUCACAUUUAUUUCAUUUGUUUUUCUUUCAUUUCUGUACUCUGAAACUGUGUCAUAUAUUUGAGACAUGCUUUUGAGGUGUUUUUAUGCUUCAUACACUCAUAUCAGACACUGACUGAUGCACAUUUUUCAUUAAAAGAGGUGAGGCAAAAUGUCACACUGAUGUUGGGGUCAUUUU
rnacentral:lncRNA from 1 species